GACGAACCGUGCGAACGUUGUUCGGAAUCACUGGGCUUAAAGGGCGCGUAGGCGGGCUGACAAGUCUGGGGUGAAAUGCCGCGGCUCAACCGUGGAACUGCCUUAGAUACUGUCGGCCUCGAGGAAGGUAGGGGCAUGCGGAACUGUAGGUGGAGCGGUGAAAUGCGUUGAUAUCUACAGGAACUCCGGUGGCGAAAGCGGCGUGCUGGACCUUUUCUGACGCUGAGGCGCGAAAGCUAGGGGAGCAAACAGGG
rnacentral:rRNA from 1 species